GAUGAACGCUGGCGGCGCGCCUAACACAUGCAAGUCGAACGAUUAAAGCACCUUCGGGUGUGUAUAAAGUGGCGAACGGCUGAGUAACACGUGGGCAACCUGCCCCUCUCAUUGGGAUAGCCACGGGAAACCGUGGAUAAUACCGAAUACUUCGAGACUUCCGCAUGGAAGACUCGAGAAAGCUCCGGCGGAGAGGGAUGGGCCCGCGGCCUGUUAGCUUGUUGGUGGGGUAACGGCCUACCAAGGCAAUGAUGGGUAGCUGGGUUGAGAGACCGACCAGCCAGAUUGGGACUGAGACACGGCCCAGACUCCUACGGGAGGCAGCAGUGGGGAAUCUUGCACAAUGGGCGAAAGCCUGAUGCAGCGACGCCGCGUGCGGGAUGAAGGCCUUCGGGUUGUAAACCGCUUUCAGCAGGGACGAGGCGAAAGUGACGGUACCUGCAGAAGAAGCCCCGGCUAACUACGUGCCAGCAGCCGCGGUAAUACGUAGGGGGCAAGCGUUAUCCGGAUUCAUUGGGCGUAAAGCGCCCGUAGGCGGUCUGUUAGGUCGGGAGUUAAAUCCGGGGGCUCAACCCCCGUUCGCUCCCGAUACCGGCAGACUUGAGUUUGGUAGGGGAAGGUGGAAUUCCUAGUGUAGCGGUGGAAUGCGCAGAUAUUAGGAAGAACACCAGUGGCGAAGGCGGCCUUCUGGGCCAUAACUGACGCUGAGGAGCGAAAGCUAGGGGAGCAAACAGG
rnacentral:rRNA from 1 species